rnacentral:rRNA from 1 species
GCAAGUCGAGGGGUAACAUUAGUGCUUGCACUAGAUGACGACCGGCGCACGGGUGCGUAACGCGUAUAGAAUCUACCUUUUACAGGGGGAUAGCCUUUAGAAAUGAAGAUUAAUAUCCCAUGGUAUUACGAAGUGGCAUCACUUUGUAAUUAAAGAUUUAUCGGUAAAAGAUGACUAUGCGUCCUAUUAGUUAGUUGGUAAGGUAACGGCUUACCAUGGCUACGAUAGGUAGGGGGCCUGAGAGGGUGAUC